rnacentral:SRP_RNA from 1 species
GCCGGGCGCGGUGGCUCACGCCUGUAAUCCCAGCACUUUGGGAGGCUAAUGUGGGAGGAUUGCUUGAACCCGGGAGUUCGAGGCUGCAGUGAGCUAUGAUCCUGCCACUGCACUCUAGCCUGGGUGACAGAGUGAGAUCCUGUCUCUA